UUGAAAGGGAAACGAUUGAAGUCAGUCGUGCUGGCGGGAAAUCAACCUUUCGAGUGGUGUUUUGGAGUUUUGAAGAGUGUCAAAACCUUUGAGAUUUUAAAAUUUUCGCUCUUUUGGUGACUUUCUCGUGGGUAGGUUAACAUCGAUUUUGAUCAUCAUAAAAAGACUGGAGGAAUGUAGCUUCGAUCUUGUAUUGAAGUGUUAUAGCCUUUGGUAAAUGUGAUGAUUAGGAUCGAGGAUUGCAACGAAUACCCUUCUGGGCUAUCCGCCUGAUCUCUGAUACGUGGCCUUGGCAUCGAAAGCUUGCUUAUGGUAUCAAGGUAUUACGGUCAAAAGGUUAGAACGGAUUACAUUCGUUAAGGAUGUUGACGUA
rnacentral:rRNA from 1 species